GCUUGGCCCGGAAGUCCCGCCUCCUUCUGGACGCUUGCUAUGUGACGCCACUUGGAAGGGACCCAGUAAGGGAUCUGUUGCGCCACAGGGGUCUCCAGGGCCCUCGCAGGUUGGGGUGGUCUGAGCUAGUCUGAAGGAGGACAGUCAGCUGACUUCUCCUUUAUCUCUCUUUCCCAGGAUAGCAGGUUCCCUUGGUGUAUUACAGUUUCUGAAGUGUUGAUUCCCUUUUCAAUUGAUUCCACAGAUGACAGUCCUGACGUUUAAAAAAUUGCCAGAUAACCUUUAAUUUUUUUUUUUUUAACAGAACACAAACUUAAGCCAGAUUGCCUAGGAUUGAACCUUGGCCUCUCACUUCCUAGACGAGUGGCCUUGGCUAGUUAACCACCUUCGUGAGCCUCAGUUUUGUCAUCUGUAAAAUGGGAGUCAUAAGUGUCUACCUCACAGAGCUGUGAUUGAAAGGAUAAAUAGCACCUUGCACAUAGCGGUGUAGAAGUGCUUGUUAUUGUUAAUAUUUUAUUUACCUUCACGCAGCCUACAGUGGCGGAAGUGGAGUAAGACAUCAUGUUGCCUCAAGUUUAAUUGGAAAUCGCGUGCCUUGUGAAGAAUGGACACUCAGUAGAUGCUUAUUGAUGAACCUGUUGGUUGAGGAUAACUCGCUAACUUUUCUGAGCUUUGUUGGAAAAACUAGACAGGGGUCUCACUAUGUGAUGCAGGAUGAUCUCAAACUCCCUGGCCUCAAGCGAUCCUCCUGCCUUGGUCUCCUAAAGUGCUGGGAUUACAGCAGGUCACUGUAUCUCUAUGCAUUACAGAAAAUGGCUAGUUAAAAACUUGUCAAGGCCAGUUGCAGGCAUGAUACCAGCAGUCUGGGAGGUAGAGACAAGAGGACACAUCUCUGCUGCUCCCUUCUUUCCCCAUGGUUAUGCGCCAACUUUGGUUUCACCAGGCCUACAGUGCUUCCCAGAGAUGGGGUUUUACUAUGUUGGAGAAGCUGGUCUCAAACUCCUGGGCUCAAGUCAUCCUCCCGCCUCAGCCUCCCAAAGUGCUGAGAUUACAGACGUGUGCCUGGCCUAUUUUACUCGUUUUAAUAGAUGUUGAGGGCUCAUGACACUCCUGGUGGCCAUAUACGCAGAGGUCAGGGAGAGAAAGGGACCUGUGGGCCAGCACCCUUAUUGGGUCCAGAGAGCUAUCCAAACAAGUUUCCAGCAGGGAAUUUAAUUGGUGGAUUUAAAGCAAGCAGGCAUGAGUUCCAGGGGGCCACACUGACUGAGGGUCAUCAGCCUUCAAGCUUCAGUCUCUGUGUGUUCACAGGUGCUGCAAACACACGCAUCACUACUAAUAUCCCACUUCAGUGCUAUUGCUGCUCCCAAAACUCCAGCUGGCACACUUUUUCCAGUAGCCAUUCUACUUGGGAGAUUUGGACAUAGAGACAGGCACACGGGGAGGAUGCCAUAUGAGAAUUGACACUGUGCUGUCACAAGCCAAGGAACUACUGGAAGGAGAGAAAGAGGACUGGAACAGUUCCUUCCUUAGCACCUUUUCAGGCAGCCCAGCCCUGCCAGCUUCUUGAUCUGGACUUCUCACCUCUAG
rnacentral:lncRNA from 1 species